rnacentral:lncRNA from 1 species
CUCAUGAUCCUGUACAAAUGUUAUAAUAAUUAUUCAUUAGGUCAAAUAACAACACACAUGGAGUUCUGUAGGCCCACUGUACAUAAACUCUACAUUGCUUGUGAAUACUGCAUUCAUAAUAUUGAUACUACUUGUCUAGCAAUUUGGGACUUUCUGUUUCUUAUGUAGAUUCUACUAAUCAUGUCAAAAUGAUUCUUUGUUUACAUGUAUAGGUUUUACUGUUUCUAACUAUGUACUCUUAAAUUUUGCCCUCUUAUUGCAUGAUCCUGAUGGAAGGUCUCACAAGCCUGCUCAUGGUAAUCUCAGACUCAGGCAUGGAUGAAAUAAUUCUCCGCAACUUCUGAGAAGGCUUCAUUGAAGACAUACUCACCAUAUCUACCCUGUGGUAUUGUAUGCUUCAUACAUGUAUGGCUGAUUUCUACCUGGGAAUCCAUAUCAGUGAUGGGAAGACAGACUGUGGAAACAAACCAUGGCAGCCACAUCCACCAGAAUGAACCUGGAGGACAUUUAUCUAUUAUUUUCUGUGACUAUUGUGGCUGCAGAACUUAGAAGCAAUUGUAUAUUGUAGUGCUUCAGAGAUUAAUUUGAUGUGGAAACAUGACCUAUUCAUCCUGCUCAUGAGGAACUCAGACUCAGAUCUCAGGAGCCUGUUCAUGAUAAUCUCAGUCUCAGGCAUGGAUGAAAUGAUUCUUUCCAACUUCUGAGAAGGCUUCAUUGAAGACAUGCUCACCAUAAAUACAUUGUGGAUAAGGAAGUGCAGACAUCCAUCUCUGACUUCUCCUGGGAAGCUUUUGCUGAAGACAGAGACACCACACCUACCUGCUUGUAUUUUAAUUUGAAGGACAUUAACAGAAAAGAAACACAGAGACCAUAACCAGAUUUGGGGAUGUGAGCCCCUUUUCUCAUUUGGCAAAAGCUACCAGGCUUGAUUAUAUAGGACAGAGAUUAUGAAGUCAGAGACCUCUGUCUAAAGCACCUGAUGGGAAAAGACAAUCUGAUGAAAACAUUGGGCUGAGCAGUAGCAGAAGUGUAGAUGAAAACACCAAAACUGAAGUUUUGUUUGGUAUGCUUCAUACCCAUAUGAAUAAUUUCUACCUGGGAAGCCAUAUCAGUGACUGAAUUGUCAGUAAGCAGCUGCAGAGGAAACAUGGCUGCUUCUGUGGUUACAGAAAAAUGUCUUUCAUGAUAAUUUUUGGCCAUGAGAAAUACUUCAGUUGUAAGUCCUCUGUUUCUCUUCUGAAAGAGAUAGGCCUCCAUUAAGUAUCAACAAAGAUAGGAGUAUCAAAUUGCAGUAAGACUAAGAAACUGUGCUUGUAUUAAUGUUGGACAAGGCUUGGUGAAUCCUGUUGAAGAGAGGGAAGAAGGAUUGUAUAAGUCUGGAGAAUCAAGGUCACCACAAGGUCUCACAAGCAUGCUCAUGAAAAUUUCAGUCUCAAGCAUGGAUGAAAUGUUCUUCCCAACUUCUGAGAAGGCUUCAUUGAAGACAUGCUCACCAUACCUACCCUGUGGUAAGCUUCAUACAUGUAUGGUUGAUUUCUACCUGGGAAGCCAAAUCAGUGACUGAAGUAUCAGUAAGCAGUGCAGAAGAAACAUGGCUCCUUCUGUGUUUACAGAGAAAUGUCUCUAAGGAUGACUUUCAGCUCUGAGAGAUACUUCAGUUGUAAGGAAAGAAAUCAUUUCUGGUAGGGAAAGUCAUUCUGCUGCAGCAUUUGGUUGGGAUUGAUCAGACUGCGGGGAUUAUUUCAUCUAUGCGGUGUAUGAGACUUCAUAAAAGAGUUGUGAACUGUAGAAGAAAUGGAUAUUUUUUGUUAUUUCAGCAUAUGGAAAAGUGUCACAAAUGAUAGGAAUAAUAUAGAAGACUCCCAGGGAUCAGAAAAACUGGAUCCCAUGGAGAGAAUCAUGCAAUAUGCCAUGAAGAGGAUGAUUUGCACAGCCUGGGCCUUCAACAGAAGAAAUAUAUGAUGGAAGGAAAGCUUGUGACCGCAGAGGGUACCAUGAACAGCUGGCUUGCUGCAUUGUUUCUGGAUUGAAGAUGUGUCCCAUGACUGCAGGACAUUAUAAAGCACAGGAGUUCACUACAUGACAACCAGGAAGCAGAGGAGAGUUACCAGAAUGGAUCAGAUCCAAGAUGUACCCUCCACAGUGUCUGUCUCUGCUGCUCAGUGACUCUGCAACUCAAAUAAUAAAGCCAUGGUUGCUCUCUGCAUCCUGAGAAGCACACACUGGAGGAGACCACUUCCCUAAGCAGGCUGUCCUCAACAGAGAGAUGGGAAGGUCAAUUGAAAAACAUGCGUCCUCAGAGGGAUCCUUUCUGGGCAGAUUAACAGUGACUUCCAGGGAAUCAUGCCACUGACUCUGAAGCCAUGGCUUUUACAUUAAGGUCUGCCAUCCCUGCCACAGUCCAUGAAUCCUUUAUCAUCUACAAGGAAGAUGAUUCACUUUGAAAAGCUUUUUCUGAUAGAGACCAGUGUGCUGUAUCAUCUUUGGAGAAAUGCCUAUUUAUUUAGAUAUUUAGAUGUGUUAUUCAGGUUCUCAUAUCAGAAAAUGGCCACAGCAAGCAGUAACUGGCAUCCCAGUAUCACCAUCAUUCAGAUGCUUAAGCUGCCAUACACAUUGAGGUGGGAGAGAGAAAUGAGUCAGCAGCCCGGAUGGAGAUCUCCAAGAGUCUGUAUGUGCUAAACACCAGGAUCUCACACUCUUCAAGAAGGCCACAAUUUUAGGAUCUUAAGGGACCAACAGAUGUAUGUGACCACCUGCUGCAGACGAAGGAAUAGUGCAAAUUAUUGCUUAAUCUUCAGGACAAUUUUGGAUACAGCAUGCAGAUUUUUCCUUCAGAGCAGGCCUUGAAAAUAAAGAGCCCACAUCACCCUCCAUGCUUUAUUUCCCAUCAAGUGCAUGAAGAAAAUUUUCUGACUAUGGGAUAUUGGUAAGUGAACAGAUCUAUGCAUACAUCAGUAUGCCAUUAGGACUCAAUGUAUCUGUAGCUUAAUGAAAGAAAUAUGUUUUACACAAAUAUGUGACCAUUCUAGUCUCAGAUUCUUGGACAUUUUAUCGGUGUGGGAUAUUUCUUCAAUCCAGUAGUGUUAAUCAUAAUUUAAAAGUAGUUGGUUUAUACUGCCAUUAUAGUUAAGCCACUCUGUCAGCAAGAUGUCUGAAGACUGCCCACUAUAUUUUAAUUUAGGAAGUGUAGGUAAAGAUGGUGAGAAUUUUUGUUCAUUCUAUACAUUUGAAGAUAGAGGUUUCUGUCCCUGCCAGGUUCCACAGCAGCAUUGAACCAAAUAAACACAGAAAGACUUAUAUUAAGUAGAAGACAUGUGGCCUCAGGCUCAAGCUUCUUGUUUCCUAGCUCUGCCUUAAUUGUUAACCCAUUUCUAUUAUUCUGUGCAUUACCACAGCCUGUGGCUUACCCAUAAUAUGUCAUGUUAACUCCUUCAGCUGCAUGGUGUCUGUUAGAAACCUCUCUCUGCCUUCCUCUCUCUCCAGGAUCUCCUGAUAUCUUACCCCUGACUAUGCUUCAUGCCUGGCUGCUGGCCAAUCAUUUUUAAUUGUAUAAAAGAAUGUAUAAAAGAAACAUAUGUACCGAAGGACAUCCCCUAUCAAACUUUCAUCAUAUGUAGUUAAUUGGACAGAAUUUUCUGAGUGCCAGAUGUAUUUAUGUUCUAUGGUAAAACAAUUAAGGAGGAUAUUCAAAGAUAAGUUCUUCUAAUUGCAUUGGCUAGUAUAACCAUGUUUGGAUAUAUUCUGAGACUAUAGGAAACCCAAUAGCCAACAAGUAAAUCAAAUAACUCUGGAAACUGAGAGAUAUAUUUCUUAUGCUUCUUCCUAUUAUAAGAAUUACAGUUGUUACAAUAUCUCUCCAGUUAUAUCUCAGUGCAUUUCAAUUUCUUGCACUGAUUCUGUGUUUAUCCAUUUACAUAUACUUGUGUUUGCAUCCCUUUCCUACCUGUGAUAUAAGAGCAUGUUAUGUAUUAUUUUAUACUUCUUUGUGUUUCCAUCGGAAAUACAAUCUGCUCUUCUAAAUGUCAAAAUUUAUAACUUUUAUUAUAAAAUUAUUUUAUCCUGUAUAUACAAAUGCACACUUACUUAACACAUAAUGUGUACUUAAUCUUCUGAUUAUGAAUAACUAUAUUUAAUAUUGACACUUAGAAAGGAAGGUCUAUUGUUGUUUUGUUUUUUGUUUAUUUGUUUCUUUAUUUACAUUAGACAAGAGUUCUUUUUUCCUAGUACUCAUAGUUUGUCAGAAGUUUUUCAACUAAGUGUCUGGAGUCAAGUGAGGUUUCUCUCUGUGUUGGAAUGACAAUAUUUGGUGUGAUUGUAGUAAACUUUUUGUCAUUUUGUUGGUUUUGUUUGAAUUGUUUUUGGGUAUUGAAGUCAUCAAAUUUCUGAGCUUUGAAAUUCCCUACUCCUCUUUCCGGAAACUCUGGUCACAACAGAUAUCGUUUUCCACUGAACCAAAAACAUUUCUGUCCAUUGCAUGCAAUAUUUUCUGUGUCUGAGAAUAGUAGAAAGUUGUGUUAUUGAUCAGUUGUGGUUGGACACAGCAUUGUAAGUCCUUAGCCAUUUGAGCAGUUGUGGAAAUGUGUAACAUGAGGCCACUGGCAGUGAGACCAGGAUUUAUCCCUAGUGCUUGAAGUAGCUUUAUAAAGCUCAUUCUCUGGGAAGGAUACCUUGCUCAGCUGACAUAUAGGAGGGAGGGUGUUGGUGCUGCCACAAAAAGAUGUGCCAGACUUUGUUUUCACCAUUGGAAGGCUUAUUCUCUCUGAGGCAUGGAUGGGGUGGUUUUUGGGAAGGUGUGGAUAGCAGGAGGAGAGGAGAGAUUGGGAACAGGGAUUGGUCUGUAAAAUGAGAAAGAUUGCUUUAAAUUUUAAAAUGUCUUUCAUCAAAUUUUUAGGCAAGAGAAUGUAGUGAAUAUUUUCAAAAUUUCAAUAUUCACAUAUUAGUACUGAACAGAAUAUUUCAAAAUCAUAAUUGGCACUGAGAAUACAAAAUGAAUGUCAAAUAUAUUCAGAUGUGUUAGUAACAAACCACACAUAAAACCAUACAAAAAUUGUGAAAUUUUUCAUAAUAUACACAUAGUAGGAAUUUCUUUCCUAAAUACAAUACUUCAGAUCAGUGCAUAAAUAUCUUCACAAAGUUAGAUAUGGCAUACAAACUAGAGGUAUUCAGAAGAGGACUUGAAGCUAACAAUUCCAUGAACUAUUAAAGGUCCUUCUUGUACAUAUAGGAGAAAACUAAAUUUCAACCAUAUAUGUCACAGUAGAGUUUUUUUCCUAUUAACAGCUGGGGUCAGACACAGCGUAUAUUACAUUUAUUCUUAUCAUCCACUUUCAGUUUUACCGCGUUUGCUACAACACACUUUUGAGUGGGAGAGAAGAAGAAUCAGCACCUCAGAUGUAGAAAUUAAGUAUUAAUAUAGGAUUUGCCUUCAGUGCUGGAAUUAAGAUAACUCUCCUAUUCCUUGCCUGAUUUGAAUGCACACAGUCCAUCAGAGGCCAGGAGUGCUAAUAAAAGCAUCAGUAGCACAGCUUCUUACAUGUCAGUCUCAGGCUGUUCUCUAGGACUCACUUGAUCCUGGAUAUGACCCAAGCCUGAUUGUACUGACUCAGACAAUGCAGACAGCUCCUGACAUCUAACAGAGGCAGAACCUGUGGGAUUCAGAAAAGGCAGGGAUUGUUUGCUUCUCGGCCCAGAAGGGCUUAACAAGAAAAUUUGCACUUACGAUGUAAUCACUGCUUUUCCGGCACUAAUGUACAUAUAUUAGACAGUGCUAAAAUUGAAGAGUGAAUCUGACAGGACAUAUCAGAAAACGCAAGCAACAAUCAGCCCUUAGCACCCACGAUUCACAUCAUGAAUGUCCAGGCAUUAUCCUGGGCUUUCAUAAAUUUAGUCCGGAUGUAGCCCCAAGCAACCUAAUAUAUAAUUGCCCUCCUAUCUGCCAGCAGUUUCUAUUUUUUAUUUGGAUAACUGGAGUUUUGUCCAGUAGAAAUUAUGUCUUCUCGUGUUGUCUGCUUUCAGUUUCCCUGCUUCUAGGUCAGCACUCGUUUAGGUGGGAGGGAGAAAUGAAUCAGCAGUUCUGAUGGAGAUUUCCAAGAGAACAUCAGGAUUUGUCCCCAGUGCUGGCAUUGAGAUCUCUCUUCUUAUUGGCUCCUUUCCCAAUUGAAAUGCACACAGCCCUUCAAUCAGAAGCAAGGGGCCCUAAUAAAAGUGUCCACAGGGAAGCUUCUUACCAGUAGGGCUCGGGCUCUACUCCAGGACUCAGGAGUUCCUGGGUAUAACCCGAGCCCUACUGGACACUGAACCAGACAAGGCAGACUGCUGACAUCUACAGGAGUCAGAGCCCAUGAGAAUCAGCAAAGACAAGCAUUGAUUGAUACACGGCACAGGGGGCUUUCAGUGAAUAUUUCCACUUAUAAGCAUUUCAUUACAGGCAAUCAUAAUAUAUUUUGGAGAAAAGCUAACAUGAAUUAUUGGGGAAUCUGACAGGGUAUAUUAGACAAUGUAAGCAACAAUCGGGUCUUGGCAGCUCUGAUUCACAAUCAUGCAGCCCCAGGUAGAUUCAGGGGAUUUCAUACUGAUAGCCAGGAUGUAGCCCCAAACAGUCUGAUAUAUGACCAACCCCUAAUUGUCACCAGUUCCUGUGUUUUCUUUUUUAUUAUUGGAGUUUUGUGCAGUUAAAAUUAUAUUUUUCAUGUACACGUUCAAUUUGGCUGCUUCUCUGGCAGCACACGUUUUAGUGGGCAGGAGAAAUGAAUCAGCAGUUCUGAUGGAGAUGUCUAAGAGAACAUCAGGAUUUGCUCCCAGUGUUGGCAUUGAGAUCUCUCUUCUACACGCACAAUUUAAAUGCACACAGGCCUUCAUUCAGAGGCAUGACAUGCUAAUAAAUGUGUCUGCAGUGAGGCUACUUAUCAGUUGGGUUCAGGCUCUACUCCAGGACUCAUUUGAUCAGUGGUAUAACCCGAGCUGACUAUACACUGACUCAGACAUGGCAGACAACUCCGGCCAUUUACGGGAGUCAGGGCCCAUGGGAAUGAGCAUAAGUAGGGAUUAUACUUCUCAGUCAUCUGUUCCUGUCUCCUAUGCAGGAAGUAGAAUCAUGCUCUGGAAGCUAUUGUUUCUUUUUUAAAAUCUGACAUCCCUGUCUAAGUCUUGAAGUGUUGUAUCAUGUGCAAGGUAGAUAGUUCACUUCUGGCUAUAAUUCAUAUCAAUUUUGUAAAUUUGAUCAUUGAGGCUUUAUGAAGACAAGAACCAUCACAAAGCAGUACCUCAAGCCUGCAUCAUAAAAGAUCCCACAUCAACCUGUUUGUUUUAUUUCCAAUCUAAUGCAUGAAGAAACACUUCUGACUAUGGAAAAUGGAUACAUGAACAGAUCAAUGGAUAAAUCAUUUCAUCAUCAGGACUCAGUUUAUGAAUAACUGAAUGAAAGGAUUAGGUUUUGCACAAGUCUGUGACCAUUCUAGUCUUGGGUUCUUGGGCAUUUUAACAGUAUGGGAUAGUUCUUCAAUUCAAUGAUGUUAAUCAUAUUUCGUAAAAGUAGCUUAUAUUCUCAUGAUCUUUUAGCCACUAUGUCAGCAUUGAAGAGUAUCAAGUAUAUUUGGCUUUUGGGCGUGUAGAAUAAGAGAGUGAGAUGUUUGUUCCUCCAGAACUUUUGAAGUUAAUGUUUUGUGUCCUGCCAGAUUCCAUAGCUUCUCUGACCCAAAGAAACACACAAAGACUUAUAUUAUGUAUAAAAUGUUUGACCAAUGGCUCAGAUGGCUUGGUUUGCCUUAAUUGUUAUCAAAUUUCUUUUCAUCUCUGCAUUGCCACAAGGCUGUGGCUUACACUUAAUCUGGUAUGUUACUCCUUUGGCAACAUGGUGUUUGUUAUGGGCAAACUCUCUGUAUUUCUCUCUCACCAGCCUUCUUCUGGACUGGUGUCCCUGCCUAUGCUUCCUUCCUGGCUGCUGGACAUUCAGUGUGUUUUUUUUUCCUCCACCAAUAUAAAGAAACACAUAUGCACAAGGGCACCCCCUUUCAAACUUCUAUCCUAUGUACUUAGUUGGAGAGAAGUUUCUCAAUAAAGCAGGAUCUUCAAAUACAUUUCCCCAUAUUUAUGUUGCCAGGUAUAACCAUGAUUUUAAUAUUGUCGAUGAGCCUCUAAAGGGAGACUAUAGGAAAACAUGUAGUCCACAAGUAAAUCAAAUAUCUCUGUCAACUGAGAGUGAUACUCCUUAUGUAUCUUCAUGUUAUAAGAAGUCUCUAAGAAUGUAAUAGUGUAGGAAAUGGUAAAACAGGACCUUAUUUUCAAAAAGCAGUAAAAGGGAACAGGGCAUUUCAAGAUUCAGAGAUUUGAAACAAUUAAACAAAGCACUAAGAGCAAUAUAAGAACUAUAUCAGAUAUAUAUAUAUAUAUAUAUAUAUAUAUAUAUAUAUAUAUAUGAAACAUUUAGGCCUCAUAGCAUGAUGAAUUGUUAGGAAUAAAAGAGUAAGUUUAGGCUGAGAUGAUAUAGAUCUCAUAUCUAUAUUGACAUAUCUAUAAGUGACAGUGAUAGGAAAUUAAAGAGUUGAGUGGGAGUGGAAUGUGUUGUUAACACUGGUGUGAAAACAUUACUCAGAGUUCUCUAGUCCAUAAUAGCUUUGUAAAACGAAAUCACAUAAUAAAGUAUUUUAAAAUGGCUCACAAUAUACUCAGUUAGUCUUCUAACAACUUGUGCUUUAAAGACUCUGCUGUGAAAUGCUAAUUUUGCAUGAUGCUGUCUAUAUUGAAACCUUACUUUCCCAGCAUAGAAUUGCAAGCCACUCUCUGAUAUCUGAAUGAGGUUAGUAUUUGAAUUUAACCUGACCCUCAGUCUCAAUAACUGAAAGAUUUACAUAGAUGCUAAAUACCUAAAAAUCAUCAUAGUGAGAAAUUCCUAUUUUCUGCAAUUCCAUCAAAAGCAAUACAAAUCUAGUAAGAAACAGUAUUGUCAGAGAGAAGCAAUUGAAAAAAAAAGUUCUUAGCAUGUCCCAUAGUCUUUUACUUGUAAAAGAAAUUUAAAUAAAAAAAUUGAAAAGAGAAGGUUUGGUAAUCUAUCCAGGGUUAUUUUUAUGCAUUCCCAAUGGUUAAGUUUUAUUUGGAAGUUUAAUAUGUUUGUUCAUGUACUGUAAGGGAGAAAUUCAUAUACUAGCACACUUUCAUUUGUCAUUUCCUUGUCAUAUCAUAAUUCUUCCAUUAUUGGUUGAGUUGCAUUGUUUUAAUAUUUUACAUAACU